rnacentral:rRNA from 1 species
UACGUAGGGUGCAAGCGUUGUCCGGAAUUAUUGGGCGUAAAGAGCUCGUAGGCGGUUCGUCGCGUCGGCUGUGAAAUCCCGAGGCUCAACCUCGGGUCUGCAGUCGAUACGGGCGGACUGGAGUUCGGCAGGGGAGACUGGAAUUCCUGGUGUAGCGGUGAAAUGCGCAGAUAUCUGGAGGAAUACCGGUGGCGAAGGCGGCAUCCUGGACCGACAUUGACGCUGAGGAGCGAAAGCUAGGGGAGCAAACGGG